rnacentral:misc_RNA from 1 species
GAUGAAGAACGUAGCGAAAUGCGAUAAGUAGUGUGAAUUGCAGAAUUCAGUGAAUCAUCGAAUCUUUGAACGCACAUUGCGCCCGCCAGCAUUCUGGCGGGCAUGCCUGUUCGAGCGUCAUUUCAACCCUCGACCUCCCUUUGGGGAAGUCGGCGUUGGGGACCGGCAGCACACCGCCGGCCCUGAAAUGGAGUGGCGGCCCGUCCGCGGCGACCUCUGCGUAGUAAACCAACUCGCACCGGAACCCCGACGUGGCCACGCCGUAAAACACCCAACUUCUGAACGUUGACCUCGAAUCAGGUAGGACUACCCGCUGAACUUAAGCAUAUCAAUAAGCGGAGGA